rnacentral:rRNA from 1 species
UACGGAGGGUGCGAGCGUUGUCCGGAAUCAUUGGGCGUAAAGGGCGCGUAGGUGGCGGCUUAAGCGUGCGGUGAAAGCUCGGGGCUCAACCCCGAGUCGGCCGUGCGAACUGAGUCGCUUGAGCACUGUAGAGGCAGGCGGAAUUCCGGGUGUAGCGGUGGAAUGCGUAGAGAUCCGGAAGAACACCGGUGGCGAAGGCGGCGACCUGGUCCGAUACUGACGCUGAGGCGCGAAAGCGUGGGGAGCAAACAGGG